UACAGAGGUCUCAAGCGUUGUUCGGAUUCAUUGGGCGUAAAGGGUGCGUAGGCGGCGCGGUAAGUCGGGUGUGAAAUCUCGGGGCUUAACUCCGAAACUGCAUUCGAUACUGCCGUGCUUGAGGACUGGAGAGGAGACUGGAAUUUACGGUGUAGCGGUGAAAUGCGUAGAUAUCGUAAGGAAGACCAGUGGCGAAGGCGGUACUCUGGGCCAGAACUGACGCUGAGGAGCGAAAGCGUGGGGAGCGAUCCGG
rnacentral:rRNA from 1 species